rnacentral:rRNA from 1 species
AGAACGAACGCUGGCGGCAGGCCUAACAAAUGCAAGUCGAACGCCGUAGCAAUACGGAGUGGCAGACGGGUGCGUAACGCGUGGGAACAUACCCUUUGGUUCGGAAUAACUCAGGGAAACUUGAGCUAAUACCGGAUAAGCCCUUACGGGGAAAGAUUUAUCGCCGAAGGAUUGGCCCGCGUCUGAUUAGCUUGUUGGUGAGGUAAUGGCUCACCAAGGCGACGAUCAGUAGCUGGUCUGAGAGGAUGAUCAGCCACACUGGGACUGAGACACGGCCCAGACUCCUACGGGAGGCAGCAGUGGGGAAUAUUGGACAAUGGGCGAAAGCCUGAUCCAGCCAUGCCGCGUGAGUGAUGAAGGCCUUAGGGUUGUAAAGCUCUUUUACCCGGGAAGAUAAUGACUGUACCGGGAGAAUAAGCCCCGGCUAACUUCGUGCCAGCAGCCGC